rnacentral:rRNA from 1 species
UACGUAGGGGCCUAGCGUUGUCCGGAUUUAUUGGGCGUAAAGAGCUCGUAGGCGGUUCGGUAAGUCAGGUGUGAAAUCUCCACGCUCAACGUGGAGGCGCCACCUGAAACUGCCGUGACUCGAGUCCGGUAGGGGAGUGUGGAAUUCCCGGUGUAGUGGUGGAAUGCGUAGAUAUCGGGAGGAACACCAGUGGCGAAGGCGGCUCUCUGGACCUCUGCUGACGCUGAGGCGCGAAAGCGUGGGGAGCGAUCCGG